CAAGAUCUCACUACGUGGCUGAAUUGCCCAGGCUGGGCUGGAACAUGCGAUCCGCCUGUCUCAGCCUCCUGGAGUGUUGAGAAUACAGGUGUGCACCGCCACGCGGACCUUAUAUUUUACAUUUUUCAUACUAAGCCUGUGCCACCCAGAGUGUUACACUACCGCCCAUCUCAGUACGCCUGCGCUACACUUCCGGGCUCAGAGCCCACGUGGCUGCCGCGAUGGACCGCGGCGCUGCAGAGCCCCGGAGGCGGCAAGGAGGAGGACGCAGCGAGCAGAAUGGCGUGCUCCGUGGGAGGCCAGAAGCAUUCCGGAAGAAUGAUUCUCCUGCUCUUCCCUCUUCCCAUCUCAGCCCAGCAGCAAACGGAGGGACAGGGGAGACAGACAGUGACAGGUCGCUCCUCCUCAUGGCCACCGGUGAGACCAUGCUUCAUCAGGGGGAACCUUGGCUGGAGGCGAUCCCCAGGCUGAGGCCUGGCGACACCGAAGAGCCCUCAUCCAUUGGUGUCUGGCUUGUCCCCCAGGGAACCACAGCAGAGCUCAGCUGUCCUGGUCCACAGGGGAGACGUCACCCACGGACCACACACCUCCUGCCACUGGAGGCCCCUGCUGGUGACCGCACAGUCCCCAUCCUCCUGACACCAGAAGCCAACGAGGACUCGGGCAGCUGCCAUCACCAGGCUUGUGCUGACUCCUUCCUAGACGGCAGGGACUCUCCAGGGCAGCAGCUCCCCUGGGGGUAGGGGUCCCUCAGGAAGGUCAGGCCCUCGGAAGACCCCUUCCCCUGGACCCUUCCAGGGCCCUUUCCCUCUCUCUCCCCUUCGAUUCUGUUUUCCUGCUGCCUUGACCUAGGGUUUUAGUGUUUCACUGCUCAGGACGGGGAGCGCUGCCAUUUUUCACACUUUUGCUUUGUUUUGGUCUGCUUUUGUGCCCUUAGCUGAGGUUCCUGUACAAGACAUGCCUUCAGGCUGUCCACACCUUGCUCCUUCCCUGGGGACAGAGGGAGUGGUCAGUCAUGCUUGGGGGUCUGAGCCAGCAUGGCCCCAAGUGCCUCACCACAACUUCACUUCUAAGGCCCCCAAAUGUGGCUGCACCUGACUGGGGCACGGCUUCUCCUCUAGGUGUCAUCCUAACACUCAGCCUGUUUAUUGCCGGGAAGCAAGAGUUGGGGGACAAGAGGAAGCAGCCUCUUGAGCUGGCCUCUGCGCCUGCCUGAACUUUCUUUCCGUUCCUGUGGCCGGCAGCACUAUCCCUCAGCCCUGGCCCCUUCCAUUUACAUUUUGUUUUUUGGUUCAGACCCCGUUCAACCCGGGUUCCAGUCCUGUGACUUGGUCAUCAACUGAACUGGUCACUCAGUGAAGAAUUCUAUGUAGUCUGUACAUUACAAUAUUCAGAACAAAGACAUGGUCAAAGGAAGCUCCAGCUUGAUGACUUCGCUUUUAUUUGCAUAACUCUUCCAUGCGGUACUGUAAUGUAUAACAGAACAUAAAGCUACAGCACUGUACUGUGCAGUACUAUCAGCAAAAAUUACAGCACUGAAUAAACAGGGUGUACUGUACAAUAAAAAGACAUUGAAGUUCUAUAAACAAGAUGUACAGAACUGUACAAAAAAAAAAGAUGGCUCAUAAAUCUGAGCAGAGGAUCUUAUGCCUCGGCCAUAAAUCUGAAGAGUAAACAGAUCGGUCAUUUAACAAGGAACAUCAUAGGGGCUGGAGAUUUAGCUCAGUGGUUCUGCCACCUGCCUUGAAAGCGCAAGGUCCUGAGUUUGAUCCCCGGUACCAAAAAAAAAAACAACAAAAAAACAAGGAAUGUCACACUGGAGCUCGAACCUCAGGCCUUUGCACUGAGCCACAUCUCAGGCCUUUUGGUCUGAGUCUACAUGGGUAUGAUUCUAAGUGUGUGUUUGAAUAUGGAUACACAUGUGACUGUAUCUCUCUGCAUGUGUGUAUAUGUGUUUCUAUAUCCGUCUGCAAGUGUGUGUGUGUGCAUGUACAUGUAGUUCUGUAUGUGUGUGUUUACCUACACAGGUGGUAAUACAUACAUCUGUGGGGACAGAUGUAUGUGUUUCUUGGCAUCUGUGUGCGUGUGUGUGUGCACGCAUGUAAUGAAAUCAUGAGCACAUACCAACAUUUCUGUUCCCUGGACAGUCCCACAGGGUUUGCUCUUUCUUCCCAUUUUGUAUGUGUGUAACUUCCUCCUCCAGUUAUAGAUAAUUCAGAGGCCCUGAUGUUGCCCUGGGCAGCACCCCUAAGGACAGCCCAGCCUGUCCUCUUUGGUCAUGCAGCCUGGCUUUCCACGCCUCUAGCCUCUCAGCUGGGUGAGACCCUUGCCCUGAUCAGGCAGAAGGGCAGACGGAGAGAGCAGGCGGGGGUCGCUCCUGCGCCAGAAAGCCCUUCUGGAGGGUUCUGGGAGGCAGAGACAGAAUCCCCGGGAAGAUGGGCAGCACUGGGAUUUCUGGGUGAGUGAGAAGCCAGAACAGAUGGGCUCCUGCCUACUCUGCAGAAAGCCCACGGUGGCCUGGGGUGCGGUGUCAGGCAAACCUGUUCCCCACAGCAGCUGGGGCACCAGCCCUACCUGGAGGAUUUGCGGGCACAGCAGCUGCCUGUGGCCUGCUGGGCACAGCUGGGAGUUGGAGCAGGAGGCUGUAGCCUCAGCUGUCGCCGAGCCCAGGGAGGAGUGGCUGCCUCUCCAGAGCAACAGCACCCAGCCACGGCUUCCUAGACCUGAGCACACCUAGCUGCCAUCUGGCCGACCAGGCUGCUGCAAGAGGCCUGGCCCUGGAAGGCCUUAUGUUUGGGGUUUCAGCUCUCUUGCCCAACAGAUGUACAAAGGCUCAUCUGGGUUUUAUUUCUGUGUUCUCGAAACUCAACACUGGCUGAGACCAGCAACAUGCUUCUGUAGCAUACAGCGCUAGCCCGGAAGUUGUGGAGGAAGCUCAGCCAUGCCUAUGGAUGCCAUCGACAAUAGCAGCUCUUUCUUCUUCCCCUCUUCCCUUCUUCCUUCACUCCUUCCCCCCCCCCCCACCAGUGUGGUGACACAUAUCUGUAACCCCAGUACUCAGGAGACUGAGGCAGAAGGACACGAGUUUGAGGCUACUCUGGGCUGUAUAAUGAGUUUAAGUCCAGCUUGAACUACGAAGCAAGACUGUUUCCAAAAAAUAAAAAAUAAAUCAGAAACUGUAGCUCUUAUUUUGGUUUCUGUCCUUAGUUGUGUCUAUCUCAGCAAUAUCAUUUAAAAAAAUAGAACCAUCCUCGAACAGGUUUACAGGGUUUACAUGAUUUAAAUUUCUUGUUUUCAUUAACAUGCAUUGUUUUUCACUUUUUAUUAGCUAUACAGAGUGCUGGGUUUCUUGUUGGCAGAUUUCUGUGUGCACGUACCACACUUUGGUCAUUUUCUUUUUUUUUUUGGUACCGGGGAUCGAACUUGGGACCUUGCGCUUGCGAGGCAGGCGAGGGAACCACUGAGCUAAAUCCCUGGCCGGUUUUUCUAUUUUGAGACAGGAUCUCCCUAUGUAGCCCAGGCUGACCUCAAAUUCAUGGUGAUCCUUCUGCCUCAGCCUCCCGAGUUGCGGGAUGACAGGUUCCCUUCUAUUGCCUCGCCACAUCUUUUAGGUUCUACACAUUAGGGAAAACACGUGAUAUUCAUCUUUCCGAGUCUGGCUUAUUUUGCUCAACAUGCAGGUCCCCAGAUCCACUCCUGGUCUAGUAAAUGGGACGCUGCAUUCCUCCUCGCGGCUGAGCACACCCCAAGUGUGCACAGGACCUCUUCUUGGGCCACUUCUGCCGAUGGGCCCCGAGGCUGGCUCCAUUGCUAGGCUGCUGUGGGAGGUGGAGCCCCCCCCCCCCCGCCCCCGGCGUCUGCACACACCACUGAGGCGCAUGCGCACACCGGCAUCCCGCAAACAAGAAGGGGCUCAACCCAGGAUGCCCCCUCAGCUGCUGGGCGCGGGGUCGGCGCAUGUACGGCUCGUUCUGUGCAUCCAGUGGGAAGCAGCCACUGGACCGGACAUGGCAGCCUCUCGGCCUCUGGGGGCCUGGAGAAGGACCGAGAGCUGCUGGAGGGUGACCGCGUUAGCUGCUGAGCCCUGAGGCUGAGAAACUCUGCUGCCCAAAACCCAGCACGCAGGCAAGGAAUUGACCUUCUACCCACAGAAGACGAAAGGCCCUACCGUAAACAGCAGGUGCAGCUGUUGCCCAGCGUGGAGAUGAGGCGGCUGGCGCUUCAGACAGUGCAUGGGGUACACAGCCCCAUGAUGUCACUGGGGCCUGAAUGGGGAAACACUGGGCUGGAAGCACCACGUUGGCGUGUGUCCAAGGCGUAGAGGGCCUGCCCCAGAGCCUCAGCUGUUCUACUGACUGCCCCGCAAGCCUCCAUCUCAUCUGCCACCCCACCCCCAUCUGCUUUCUGGCUGAGGACAGAAAAGACCAAGGAGCCCCCAGCUCCCGAGCCACUCAGCAGGAGGGGCCCCAAAGCUGACUGUGGUUUCCAGUAGAGACUUGGUCACAAACCCCUUCUGCUGGUACCCCAGACUCCGCUGCCAGCCUCUGCCCGGUGACCCUGGGCCUUGGACAGUUUCUCCCCCUUCUGGCUGCGGGCACAGCCUGGCUGGGCACGCCGGGGGGGGGGCGCAAUGCACACUGGCAGUGGGGCGUCACACUGGCCAGGGCAGCAGACGGUCCCAGAGUGCGGCCAAGAAGCCCCUCUAUGGUUUCGCUGCCUGCUCUGCAAGCGCAAGGACCAGAGUUCAAUUGCCAGUACCAAAAAAUAAAAAUAAAAUAAAAAUAAAAAGAAGCCCCUCUGAACCCAAGAGGCCAUCUACACUCUUCAGAAGGUCACUGAUUCCAGAGACAGACUAGGGCUGGUUCCUGGUGGGACGGAGGGUGCCAGCCACCAAUGUUCCAACUUCUCCUAGGCAAUUGGGACAUGUGCAGCCUGAACCCAAUCUGCAAAGCAGAUAACCGCAGCAGUGGGUCUGCACCAGCCCCUGGGCCCCUGUCCUUGGUGCUCCAGUUAGACAAGUGGAUGGCUCUGUUCAGGAAAGAGACUCAGAAGUAUUGAAGGGUAAAGGGGGAUUGCACCUACAGUUCACUCCCAAACAGUCCAGGGAGAAAUACAAACAUGACAGAGAAAAGGGGAGUCAGAGACAGAGAGUGUGACAGAGAUAGAAAGAGCAGGAUAUAAAGAGACAUACAGACAAAGGUAGAGACAGAGCCAGAUGCAGAGACAGAAAAUGAUAAAACGUGGUGAGAUGUUGCCAUCUGCG
ensembl:lncRNA